rnacentral:rRNA from 1 species
ACCCGAAGGCGCUGUGCUAACCGCAAGGAGGCAGGCGACCACGGUAGGGUCAGCGACUGGGGUGAAGUCGUAACAAGGUAGCCGUAGGGGAACCUGCGGCUGGAUCACCUCCUUU